rfam:Triticum aestivum genome assembly, contig: Triticum_aestivum_CS42_TGACv1_scaffold_516389_6BS
CUUAUACUCCCUCCGUCCGGAAAUACUUGUCAUCAAAAUGGAUAAAAAGGGAUGUAUCUAGACGUAUUUUAGUUCUAGAUUCAUCUAUUUUUUUAGUUCUAGAUUCAUCUAUUUUUAUCCAUUUUGAUGACAAGUAUUUUCGGACGGAGGAAAAAUAGA